GGAUUCUGAGAGGUCACAUGACCUCACUCUUCUCUCUAUAAAUAAUACACAGGCCUGACCGGAGAGAGUUUUCCUCCCGUGAAGUCUGGUGACAAUCUAACCAUCACAGUGCCUUCAUCGCAUUUGCUGAGACCCAGAAAAAACAAUGAGAAGAAGAUUUUGGAAGUCACCAACAAGAUCAUUGUUCUACUGACAGGAGAGGAACAGAUGCAUUUAGAAGAACACAAGGAUCUCUACAAGGA